rnacentral:rRNA from 1 species
CCUACGGGUGGCUGCAGUGGGGAAUAUUGGACAAUGGGGGGAACCCUGAUCCAGCGACGCCGCGUGAGUGAAGAAGUAUUUCGGUAUGUAAAGCUCUAUCAGCAGGGAAGAAAAUGACGGUACCUGACUAAGAAGCCCCGGCUAACUACGUGCCAGCAGCCGCGGUAAUACGUAGGGGGCAAGCGUUGUCCGGAAUUACUGGGCGUAAAGGGCGCGUAGGCGGGAACUUAAGUUAGAUGUGAAAACUCCGGGCUUAACCUGGAGACUGCAUUUAAAACUGGGUUUCUUGAGGGCAGGAGAGGAAAGUGGAAUUCCUAGUGUAGCGGUGAAAUGCGUAGAUAUUAGGAGGAACACCAGUGGCGAAGGCGACUUUCUGGACUGUACCUGACGCUGAGGCGCGAAAGCAUGGGGAGCGAACAGGAUUAGAUACCCUUGUAGUC